UACGUAGGGUGCGAGCGUUGUCCGGAAUUAUUGGGCGUAAAGAGCUCGUAGGCGGUUUGUCGCGUCGGCCGUGAAAACUCGGGGCUUAACUCCGGGCCUGCAGUGGGUACGGGCAGACUAGAGUGCGGUAGGGGAGACUGGAAUUCCUGGUGUAGCGGUGAAAUGCGCAGAUAUCAGGAGGAACACCGGUGGCGAAGGCGGGUCUCUGGGCCGUAACUGACGCUGAGGAGCGAAAGCGUGGGGAGCGAACAGG
rnacentral:rRNA from 1 species